rnacentral:rRNA from 1 species
AUUGAACGCUGGCGGCAGGCUUAACACAUGCAAGUCGAGCGGGGAAAUAUAGCUUGCUAUAUGACCUAGCGGCGGACGGGUGAGUAAUGCUUAGGAAUCUGCCUAUUAGUGGGGGACAACAUUUCGAAAGGGAUGCUAAUACCGCAUACGCCCUACGAGGGAAAGCAGGGGAUCAUUUGACCUUGCGCGAAUAGAUGAGCCUAAGUCGGAUUAGCUAGUUGGUGGGGUAAAGGCCUACCAAGGCGACGAUCUGUAGCGGGUCUGAGAGGAUGAUCCGCCACACUGGGACUGAGACACGGCCCAGACUCCUACGGGAGGCAGCAGUGGGGAAUAUUGGACAAUGGGGGAAACCCUGAUCCAGCCAUGCCGCGUGUGUGAAGAAGGCCUUUUGGUUGUAAAGCACUUUAAGCGAGGAGGAGGCUCCUGUAGAUAAUACCUACAGUGAGUGGACGUUACUCGCAGAAUAAGCACCGGCUAACUCUGUGCCAGCCGCCGCCGUAA